rnacentral:rRNA from 1 species
CGGAAAGGGAAAGGCUUAGUGGCGGACGGGUGAGUAACGCGUGGGUAACCUGGCCCAUACAGGGGGAUAACACUUAGAAAUAGGUGCUAAUACCGCACAACAACAGAAAGCGCAUGCUUUUUGUUUGAAAACCAAGGUGGUAUGGGAUGGACCCGCGUCUGAUUAGCUAGUUGGCGGGGCGACGGCCCACCAAGGCGACGAUGUCUAGGGGUUCUGAGAGGAAGGUCCCCCACACUGGUACUGAGACACGGACCAGACUCCUACGGGAGGCAGCAG